rnacentral:rRNA from 1 species
GAUCCUGGCUCAGGAUGAACGCUAGCGGCAGGCUUAACACAUGCAAGUCGAGGGGCAGCAUAAUGGAUAGCAAUAUCUAUGGUGGCGACCGGCGCACGGGUGCGUAACGCGUAUGCAACCUACCUUUAACAGGGGGAUAACACUGAGAAAUUGGUACUAAUACCCCAUAAUAUCAUAGAAAGGACGAUCUUUUAUUUGGUUUGGUAAAAUUAACCGUACUGGUUAGGUAGAUGGGCGAUGCGUUGUAUUAG